GACAAGACCUGUGAUAGGAUCUACAGAGUGGGACAGACCAAGGAUGUGUUUAUACACAGGUUCUUGUGUAAGGACACCAUUGAAGAAAGGAUUGUUGCACUUCAACAGAAAAAACAAGACCUGGCAAAGAGUGUCUUGACAGGGUCGGGAGGAGUGAGUUCACGUUUGACCUUAGAUGACCUCAGAAUGCUGUUUGGAGUUUAAUCAGGGGACUAGAUAUGUUUAUCAAUAGAGCUAGUGCAAAAUAACAUUUUAAAAUGAUUUUUACAGUAUUUAUUUUUAAAAAA